GACGUAGGGCGCGAGCGUUGUCCGGAUUUAUUGGGCGUAAAGGGCUCGUAGGCGGCUUGUCGCGUCGAAUGUGAAAUCUCAGGGCUCAACUCUGACAUUGCAUUCGAUACGGGCAGGCUAGAGUUCGGUAGGGGAGACUGGAAUUCCUGGUGUAGCGGUGAAAUGCGCAGAUAUCAGGAGGAACACCGGUGGCGAAGGCGGCUUGCUGGGCCAGUUCUGACGCUGAGGAGCGAAAGCGUGGGGAGCGAACAGG
rnacentral:rRNA from 1 species